rnacentral:rRNA from 1 species
GCAGGGAGCGGCGGACGGGUGCGUAACACAUGGGAAUCUGCCCCAAACUGAGGGAUAACUACUCGAAAGAGUAGCUAAUACCGCAUAUGGUCUUCGGAUUAAAGCCUUCGGGCGGUUUGGGAGGAGCCUGUGGCAGAUUAGUUAGUUGGUGAGGUAACGGCUCACCAAGACGAUGAUCUGUAGCUGGUCUGAGAGGAUGAUCAGCCACACUGGGACUGAGACACGGCCCAGACUCCUACGGGAGGCAGCAGUAGGGAAUUUUCCACAAUGGACGAAAGUCUGAUGGAGCAAUACCGCGUGCAGGAUGACAGCCUUCGGGUCGUAAACUGCUUUUAUACGAGAAGAUUAUGACGGUAUCGUAUGAAUAAGCUUCGGCUAACUCCGUGCAGCAGCCGCGGUCAGACGGAGGAAGCAAGCGUUAUCCGGAGUGACUGGGCGUAAAGAGAUGCGUAGGCGGUAUGUCAAGCGAACAGUGAAAUCUCAAAGCUCAACUUUGAGGCUACUGUUUGAACUGACAUACUAGAGCAUGAUAGGGGAAACUGGAAUUCCUAGUGUAGGAGUGAAAUCCGUAGAUAUUAGGAGGAACACCAAUGGCGAAGGCAGGUUUCUGGAUCAUUGCUGACGCUCAGGCUCGAAAGUGUGGGUAGCGAACGGGAUUAGAUACCCCGGUAGUCCACACCGUAAACGAUGGAUACUAGCUAGUUGGGGGUAUCGACCCCCUCAGCAGCGAAGCUAACGCGUUAAGUAUCCCGCCUGGGGAGUACGGUCGCAAGAUUAAAACUCAAAGGAAUAGACGGGGACCCGCACAAGCGGUGGAGCGUGUUCUUUAAUUGGAUGAUAAGCCAAGAACCUUACCCAGACUUGACAUCCCGAGAAGGACUGCGAAAGCAGACUGUGCUUUAUUGAACUCGGUGACAGGUGCUGCAUGGCCGUCGUCAGCUCGUGUCGUGAGAUGUUUGGUUAAGUCCAUCAACGAGCGCAACCCCUAUGAUUAGUUGGAUUUUUCUAAUCAGACUGCCUCGGUAACGGGGAGGAAGUAGGGGACGACGUCAGGUCAUUAUUGCCCUUAUGUCUGGGGCGAGAAACGCGCUACAAUGGCCGGUACAAAGGGGAGCGAUGUCGCGAGACGGAGCAAAUCCCAUCAAAGCCGGUCUCAGUUCGGAUUGGAGGCUGAAACCCGCCUCCAUGAAGUCGGAAUCGCUAGUAACCGUGGGUCAGAAUACCGCGGUGAAUACGUUCCCGGGUCUUGUACUCACCGCCCGUCAUACCAUGGAAGUCGCCAACACCCGAAAGCUAAUCAUUAAGAUUGGUCCAAGGUGGGGGAGAUGACUG